AACCAUCAUCACUAUCUAAUUUUAAAACAUUUUCAUCAUCCCACAAAGAAACCCUAUACUCAUUAGCAGUUGCUCCUUAUUCCUC